ACGGCGAACCCCAUCUUGUAAAAUGGGAUAAAAUAAAAUUUUGCUUAGAAAAUAUAUUUACACUCAAAAGAAUUCGUGAAGCUAUAUAUACGGAAUGACACCCAUUAACUAAUCGAAAGGGCUUGAUUGUCGAUAUCGUUCUCCGUCACAGUGGUAGUGACAGUGAAAGUGUUGGCACUUGCAACUGCUAACAUGCACAAGAGAAAGCUUUGCCAUGGUGAUCAAGCUAAGUGUGAUUAUUUUGAAUAGCAGCUAGGGAGAGGUGAAAUGUUG
rnacentral:lncRNA from 1 species